ensembl:lncRNA
GUAAACUACCUGCUGACUGUGGAUGUUAUGGAACAAACCACCUGGGCUCCCACUGUGUCCUGGAGAAGUGAUUUGCUCCUCAGUCCAGCAGGACCCCAGGGCCCUGGGUGACCACUGGCACUGCACUCCCUUCUUUCAACCUCUAGAGGGAGCACUGACCUUUUGUCCUGUCCAAUGUUCAACAACCAUCAUCACUGUUGCUCCACCUUCUCUCUCCUCCCUCCAUUAGAGACACCAGAUGUCUGAGCCAAGUGUGCCACUGUGGACGCUGCCCUUGUAGUACCAGCAGCUGCCAGCAGGAGGAUGAGACACAAUGAGCUCUCUGUUCAGGACCAUGAAGCUCAUUACAGCCAAGUCAGCAGCAUCAAUUUAGAGAAGGACCUAUAACCCCCUCAGCUUGGAGUGGCAGACAUUUGCUCUUCAAAUCCAAAUAUCGAGUGCCUGACUGAGUCACAUCAAACUACAUCAUCUUCAG